GAUGAACGCUGGCGGCGUGCUUAACACAUGCAAGUCGAACGGAAAGGCUCCUGCUUGCUGGGGUACUCGAGUGGCGAACGGGUGAGUAACACGUGGGUGAUCUGCCCUGCACUUCGGGAUAAGCCUGGGAAACUGGGUCUAAUACCGGAUAGGACGAUGGUUUGGAUGCCAUUGUGGAAAGUUUUUCGGUGUGGGAUGAGCUCGCGGCCUAUCAGCUUGUUGGUGGGGUAAUGGCCUACCAAGGCGUCGACGGGUAGCCGGCCUGAGAGGGUGGACGGCCACAUUGGGACUGAGAUACGGCCCAGACUCCUACGGGAGGCAGCAGUGGGGAAUAUUGCACAAUGGGCGGAAGCCUGAUGCAGCGACGCCGCGUGGGGGAUGACGGCCUUCGGGUUGUAAACUCCUUUCGCUAGGGACGAAGCGCAAGUGACGGUACCUGGAGAAGAAGCACCGGCUAACUACGUG
rnacentral:rRNA from 1 species